rnacentral:misc_RNA from 1 species
UCCCUUUUUAUCCCAGCCACAUGAUUCAGAAAUUUGUAUACCUGGCUCCCAGAAAGUGUCAUGCUCGAAUUCGUAUGCCAGGGAUGUCUUUCAAACCCAUUUUUAGUGCUGUUUUCCUGAACAAAUGAGGUGGCCUUUGUAAACCUAUUGACUCAGAAAAUCGAUUGGCUAGCUCAACAAGAGUUGUUUUAUCCCUGCCAAUUUCCCUGAUUGAAUUAUAAUAACCUAGCCAAGCAUGAUAUGCUGCUUCUUUGACACUACUAUCAAUCUUUGACAUUGAAUCCUCUACCUUAAGUUUAGUUUCUCGAUCUACAUUAGGUAAAGGAAGUUUAUCAAGAGGCAGAUCU